GACGAACGCUGGCGGCGUGCCUAAUACAUGCAAGUCGAACGCUUCUUUCCUCCCGAGUGCUUGCCCUCAAUUGGAAAGAGGAGUGGCGGACGGGUGAGUAACACGUGGGUAACCUACCCAUCAGAGGGGGAUAACACUUGGAAACAGGUGCUAAUACCGCAUAACAGUUUAUGCCGCAUGGCAUAAGAGUGAAAGGCGCUGUCGGGUGUCGCUGAUGGAUGGACCCGCGGUGCAUUAGCUAGUUGGUGAGGUAACGGCUCACCAAGGCCACGAUGCAUAGCCGACCUGAGAGGGUGAUCGGCCACCCUGGGACUGAGACACGGCCCAGACUCCUACGGGAGGCAGCAGUAGGGAAUCUUAGGCAAUGGACGAAAGUCUGACCGAGCAACGCCGCGUGAGUGAAGAAGGUUUUCGGAUCGGAAAACUCUGUUGUUAGAGAAGAACAAGGACGUUAGUAACUGAACGUCCCCUGACGGUAUCUAACCAGAAAGCCACGGCUAACUACGUG
rnacentral:rRNA from 1 species